GAGUGUGAUCAUACCAAUGUUAAUGCACUGUAUCUGAUCGGAACUCCGCAAUUAAGCGUGCUUGGGCUAGAGUAGUACUAGGAUGGGUGACCUCUCGAGAAGUCCUAGUGUUGCACCCU
rfam:Picea glauca, whole genome shotgun sequence.